GGUGUGCCGGGUGAGAAUGGACCAAGGGGUAAAAAAGGUGAUGCAGGAUUGCCGGGAGUUGAUGGUCUUCCAGGACCACCUGGUCCUCAGGGGCCUUCUGGGCCUCCUGGGAGCCCUGGACAAACGGGACCUCCAGGAUUACCUGGUGAAAUCGGCGUCUCUGGAAAACCAGGAGAACCAGGAAAACCGGGCCUGCCAGGAAAAGAUGGAUUAGAUGGUUUCCCUGGAAAUGACGCUGAGAAGGGGCAAAGAGGAGAACCCGGACAGGACGGCUUCCCUGGUAAACCAG